CUUUCUGGAUUUCCAAAUUACAAACUAUGCAUCCACAUGGUCUGAAUGAUAAAUUAGAUCUCUCUUGUUACCUGUGAAUUAGCUUUGCAAUUAGCUCACAAUCCUUAAAAGGGAGUAGCCCUUAUCAGUCAAUUUGCUCGCUCUUGGAAAAAGAAAAAGUUGCUAUCCUGAGCUGGAAUUACAGCAGAGCCACUACCUAGAAAAGUCUAUCUGGAGAUUUAAAGCAGUGAGAGAUGAAGAUGAUAUACAACCUCAUCAGAUGGAGUGAAAUCAGCAUCCUAGGACACUUUCACCCCAUCUGUGGGACGGAGGCAGAUGGCGGGCAUCACACAACAUCAUAUUAUUCCAGCAUAGGCCAUGCCCCCAACCGGGAUGAAAGCAUCAUUGGACAAUUUUACCCCAACAUGGGAAGCUUCCCGUGUUUGCGCUGGAUCCAAUGGACGGAUUCGCCCUGCUUGCUCCCUCUUUCCUUGCCAGAAGCCAGAAAAAGUGGGACAUUUCUCCUGGCCUUUAUGAUGAGGUCCAUAAAGUCUGUUUACUCACUCUUUAA